CUUAUGUGGGGCAAUCAAGCAUUUCUCAUAAUGCAAAGGAGGUCCUCCUCACUGUCCAUAAAGCGAGUGGAGGAACUAAAAAACUGACUGUGUGAAACCGAAUUUUGAUGUGAUGGGCUAAUAGAAUAGAACUACGUGUGCCUUUUCUCGAAGCUAACCAAAAGCCUUUUUGGCACAUUUCCACUUCAGUGAACAGUGACGCGACAAUCUAGGACAGUGGCUACGUGUCCUCUCUUUCGGCAGUGCUGCACACUUUCCCUUCUCUCAUUGGUUGCUCCUGUGGGACCAUCCUCAUCGCUUAAUUACGCCUUGAUACGCUACUUUUUAGAUGGACCCACCUCCUACAAAGAUAUCCGGCCAAUUACAUCUCUCAUCUGCUUCUCGCUUGCCCUACACACGUGUCGCUUUUACACUUUCGUCCCUGUGCUGCUUUGCUUUGAUUAUCGCCUGAGCUCAACAGGUGAAGGUGAAGAGCAAUGGAUGGUGGAGAGAGGUGGCGCAUGAUACGAUGGGCUGGUGGUACGCAGGAUAAGACUAUAAUCGACCAGAUAAUGCUCCGAUUCAGGCCGAUUGCACCGAAACCUGCCACCGGUGCGCCAGAUUCCGAUAUAUCUUCUCUGAACAGCAAGAACUUAUUGCUUUCUGAGAGAAGAACCAAGAGAAAGUACGUUAGGAUUCGUAAGAACAACAAAUUGUUCAAAAGAAACCAAAUAGUUUCAUCGUCAUCAGAUCAAGGAAAAGGAAAAGAAAGAGAGGAUGGAUCUUUUCAAAAGGCAGUAACACUGCAAUUGUUACCGGAGAGAAGUGAUGAUCAGCCCAAGGACUCGACAGAAAGAGGGAGAUCUUGGUGCAAUCUCGAUCUCACAAAAGAAUUAGUUCAUGAUCCAGAGAAUAAUCAAAUCGCAUCCAUGUGGCUCAAGCUAAAACAGCCGGUUAUCUGCAGGGAAGAUCAUCAGACGGUGGCGAUGGUUCCAAAAAAGAGAUUGGUACUGGAGUCGUGGGUGACAGUGGAGAGCGUGAUGGACACAAACGGUUGCAUGGAAGGUCGGGAGUUAGGGUGUACGGACGUGGAGAGAGUGAAGUAUCUAGAGAAGGACACGCGUCCAGGGUUUAUAUCAGACGGUUCAAACAGAGUGCGAUGGGUGAAUGGGGCAUACCAGAGCAUGGUAUCUGUGAUGAAGGAGAAAGAAAAUGAGGGUCAGGGGCAGUCAGGGGAAAUAAUGGUGUGGUUGGUGACGAAAGAAAAGCUGAUUCCAUACAUGUACAGCUGUGCAUUUACGUGCUGGGUGAGAUUGCAGUACGCGUGGAAGGAGAAGAAGUACUCAUCGCAGAUGGUGCCAUGUGAUGUUUGGAGAAUGGACUGCGGAGGGUUUGCAUGGAGACUGGACGUUGAGGCUGCACUGGGUUUGGGCCGUUGAAAGAUUUUGAGAAAAAGCCUCCAAAUCAAACAUCAAGAAACUAAAGUAAGGCUUAUCAGGUUUUGUAAUUAUUGUGCAUGGGAGACUUCUGACCCAUCAAUGGGAGAAAGUUGAACAUGAAUGUCUUCAAGUGUAUGCAUAUAGAUAUGUUAUGUAUUGGGAUAAAAGUUGCUUCUCAUGGCAAGAAGAUGAAGCAAAUUCAGUGUAACCAAAGCAUUUCAUGAGAAGGUUGAGGCUUCAUUUGAAUUGUAAAGCAAAUUCCCAAAAGGGGAAAAUGGAGUCUUGUUUGACAUCCAAAAAAUAAGGGAUAUUUUGUAGAAAAAGAAGAUCUGUAUGUAAUCUAUAAAUCAUCGUCUUUACUCUUUGCUUGCUGCUGCGGUACCUUACCUAUCUGUGAAGUAUCCAUUUUGAGCAGAUCAUGUGCUUGCAUUGCUUUCAUGCAGCAGGACCUUCCAAUACUGUUUUGAGCAUAACUGGAUUCAUUCACAGAUGUGUACCUUAAGUUGUUAAAUGGGAAUGGAGAUUUGGCUGGAGCUGAGCUCAUCUUUGUCCCAUUAAUUUGUAAUUUUCACUUAUUCUGCCAAUAUAAGCCAAAAGAGAAGAAUAUUUUAU
rnacentral:misc_RNA from 1 species